rnacentral:rRNA from 1 species
AUGAUAUGCAUUGUGAUCUUUCUUAACUUGAAUAUGAACUUGCAGCCAUAUAUCCUCGCAAGUAAGGGAUGUGGACCUAUGUGUAAGGAGUGCGGAGGUCACAGUUUGAUUUUGUGGUUCCGUGGCGCAGAUGACAAGGCCGAGAAGGAGCACCUCCUGGCGCUGGCCGGCGGCGACGAGGCCCGUGUCCACUUCUUCCCGUGUGACCUCCUCGGCGGCGCCACCAUGCUCACCGCCGCGUGUGGCUGCUCCGGCAUCUUCCAGCCUCACCCUGCAUCAUCAACCGCGUCCUCUGUCAAUUGUACGAAAAGUAAAUUAUCUGAAUUUACAGCCUCUGAGGUUCUUUAG